rnacentral:rRNA from 1 species
AUACCCGCUCCGCGAGUGGUGAGGACUAUUACUGGGCUUAAAGCGCCCGUAGCCGGCCGGGUGUGUCCUCCGUUAAAUCCACAGGCCUAACCUGUGGGCUGCGGGGGAUACUACCCGGCUUGGGGGUGGGAGAGGGCGGCGGUAUUCCCGGGGUAGGGGUAAAAUCCACUGAUCCCGGGAGGACCACCAGUGGCGAAGGCGGCCGCCCAGAGCACGCCCGACGGUGAGGGGCGAAAGCUGGGGGAGCAAACGGGAUUAGAAACCCCUGUAGUCC